rnacentral:tRNA from 1 species
UGGGGAGUGGUGUAGCUGGCAACACGUCUGACUCUGGAUCAGAAGAUCCUAGGUUCGAAUCCUAGCUCCCCAGCCA